rnacentral:tRNA from 2 species
CGGGGCGUGGCGCAGUUUGGUAGCGCACUUGGUUUGGGACCAAGGGGCCGCAGGUUCGAAUCCUGUCGCCCCGACCA